AUCCUACGGGAGGCAGCAGUGGGGAAUAGUUGCACAAUGGGCGCAAGCCUGAUGCAGCCAUGCCGCGUGUAUGAAGAAGGCCUUCGGGUUGUAAAGUACUUUCAGCAGUGAGGAAGGUGGAUAUGUUAAUAGCAUAUUCAUUUGACGUUAGCUGCAGAAGAAGCACCGGCUAACUCCGUGCCAGCAGCCGCGGUAAUACGGAGGGUGCGAGCGUUAAUCGGAAUUACUGGGCGUAAAGCGCAUGCAGGUGGUUUGUUAAGUCAGAUGUGAAAGCCCCGGGGCUCAACCUCGGAAUUGCAUUUGAAACUGGCAAACUAGAGUACUGUAGAGGGGGUAGAAUUUCAGGUGUAGCGGUGAAAUGCGUAGAGAUCUGAAGGAAUACCGGUGGCGAAGGCGGCCCCCUGGACAGAUACUGACACUCAGAUGCGAAAGCGUGGGGAGCAAACAGGAUUAGAUACCCUGGUAG
rnacentral:rRNA from 1 species